UCAGGUCUUGAGUAUAAACUUACGUAAGUUCUAAAAAUGGGAAGAAUUUUUCUGGAUCAUAUUGGUGGCACUCGCCUGUUCUCCUGUGCAAACUGCGACACGAUUCUGACCAAUCGUUCUGAGCUCAUCUCCACUCGUUUUACAGGGGCCACGGGAAGAGCCUUUCUUUUUAACAAGGUGGUAAAUCUGCAAUACAGUGAAGUUCAGGAUCGGGUCAUGCUCACUGGCCGCCACAUGGUUCGAGACGUGAGCUGCAAGAACUGCAACAGCAAACUGGGUUGGAUCUAUGAAUUUGCCACUGAAGACAGCCAGCGCUACAAGGAAGGCCGUGUUAUCCUGGAAAGAGCGUUGGUCCGAGAGAGUGAAGGAUUUGAGGAGCAUGUUCCAUCCGACAAUUCCUGAAGAGACUUGAGUCUCUUCGCAGGUUCUCUUCAAUUGAAACUCAAAAAUAAUAAAAUCAACAAAAAAAUCUGCUUACAUACACUGUCACCUUAGCAUCAGAGUCGGAUUCAUGGACUACAGAGUGGGAAAGAUUGUGAGAGUAUUUCAGAUGGAACCUUCCUUUCUUUAUUCCUUUUAUAUUUUACUUUCCCUCCAGCAGCUGUUUGUAGAAAGAAUGUUGUGCAGAUGCUGUAACUUUUUCUCUCUUGCAUUUACAUCUGUUAGAUUUGAGAUUGUAUCUACAGAUACAAUGGACUAAAAGGAAAAUAUUUGGGGGAUUUGUCUUUUGUUAGAGAGAAAUUCAGUGAGUUUUUUUAGUUUGCACAAACUGAUGUCAGCAUAAAGUUAUUUUAAAACUACAGAUGUUUUUUAAAAAGUAUAUUCCAAUUUUUGGCUUAAGUUUUUAGUUAGUUUUUUUUUUUUACCCAGUCUUUUCACCUGAUUUGCUAGCUAAAGUAAAGAGAUCCGAAUUUGUGCCGAGUGCUAAAGGUUCAGUGUUGGUACAGCUUGGGCUGGCCCUUGUGCCAUAUUCUUGUUGAGGUUGAUUGGUAGCACAGAGCCCAUUAUUUCUUGUCGUUCUUGACCCAAAGAUGUCACCAUUCCUUGUUUAUUUGUGAAGUCCCAUUCACCAUGUAAACUGGUGUUGAUUGGAAACUAUUCUUGAAAUAGGGCAAAACUGCUUGGCUUUUUUUAACUUUAACUGAUGUAACUUAUAAGCAUAGUAAUAAUAUAAAAUAAUAGUUGUCUGUUUAGUCUUGCGUUGCUUACAGAUCAGAAGCUGUGUUUGUAAUGAUAGGGAUCCACUGAGAAACUACUGUUUCAGUAGUAAUUUUUUUUCGUUGCUCUACUAAUCUCAUUAAGUAGACAGGCAAUUGCAAAUCUUAAUUCUUCUUCAAGUAGCUUUCUUUAAACCCAGAACUUCCUACGUUAAACACAGCUGCUGUGUAAAAGGAGAAGAUUGCCAGCAUGUUUGUUCAUGCCUAGAGUUAUGCAAUCUGCAUCUCUUGAAAAAAUUAACUUAAACAGCUUGUUUUCAAAUGCUGCUUCUGGUGUUGAAACCUUUAUCUUUCAACUUUGUUGAACCUUUUCAUUGUGAUGGUACAUUUUUAUCUUUCUGGGCAGCAGUACAUGUCAGCCUAGUAGUAACUAGUGACUUGGAUUCCUGCUUUCUUCUUGUAGAGGACAGCUCUGUUUAAACCAGUGAUCUUGCUUGCCUUUUUAGCAAAAAUGCUCUUCAUUAACUUAACUCAAGGGUGCCCAAACACUUUCAUUGUGUCUUAAGCCAUAAGUUAAGAUCUCAAGGGCUGAAAUUUAUUUGAAUGUUAGAUAUGUAUGAUUCCUUAUCAAAGAUACAAGUUGGUUUGUUUUUUUUUCCUUAUUGGAUAAAUUGUAGUCAACGUGAAGUAAGUUACCUACAGACGUACAAGAGGGGAAAAAAACCCCACCCAACCAAACAGAUCUCGGCUCCAACCUUUCAGAAUAACGUUUCUUCACUAGCCACAGCUCCGUAUCUGAAACUAAAAUGUGGAGGGUGACUAUGCAGAGUAUUUUUCGUAAUUUUUUUGGUUGCCAAGUGGCAAUUUGGACACCCCUGACUUGAAUCUACUGCCUAUUUCAUGUAAAAGUAGCUUUAUUAUAGAAUUGUCACAUAGAAAGAAAACAGAGUAGAUCACAUACCAGAGCUGUGCUUGAAUCAAGCUGCUUAAACAAUAGUGUACUUGUGCCUCAAAUGAAUCAGUUUUUGCACUGAGUACAGUAGUACCCCAUUAUCUUGUACUUCUGUCCUUCACAGACCCUAAAAGCCCCAUUAGCAUGGUUCUCUUCAGUACUUUUCUUGUACUUCUGACAUUACAGUACAAUAAAGUAUGUUUUGUCCUGAAUUG